UACGAACCGUCCAAACGUUACUCGGAAUCACUGGGCUUAAAGGGUGCGUAGGCCGCGCGGCGGGUGGGAUGUGAAAUCCCCCGGCUCAACCGGGGAAUAGCGUCCCAAACCGCCGUGCUCGAGGGAGACAGAGGUGAGCGGAACUGAUGGUGGAGCGGUGAAAUGCGUUGAUAUCAUCAGGAACACCAGUGGCGAAAGCGGCUCACUGGGUCUUUCCUAACGCUGAGGCACGAAAGCUAGGGGAGCGAACGGG
rnacentral:rRNA from 1 species